AGUGAACGCUGGCGGCAGGCCUAAUACAUGCAAGUCGAACGGCAGCACAGCAGAGCUUGCUCUGUGGGUGGCGAGUGGCGGACGGGUGAGGAAUACAUGGGAAUCUGCCCAGUCGUGGGGGAUAACGUAUGGAAACGUACGCUAAUACCGCAUGCGCCCUACGGGGGAAAGCCGGGGACCGCAAGGCCUGGCGCGAUUGGAUGAGCCCAUGUUCGAUUAGCUAGUUGGCGGGGUAAAGGCCCACCAAGGCGACGAUCGAUAGCUGGUCUGAGAGGAUGAUCAGCCACACUGGAACUGAGACACGGUCCAGACUCCUACGGGAGGCAGCAGUGGGGAAUAUUGGACAAUGGGGGAAACCCUGAUCCAGCAAUGCCGCGUGUGUGAAGAAGGCCUGCGGGUUGUAAAGCACUUUUGGCAGGGAAGAAAAGCACUGGCCGAAUACGCCAGUGUGUUGACGUAACCUGCAGAAGAAGCACC
rnacentral:rRNA from 1 species